rnacentral:rRNA from 1 species
CGUAGGGUGCGAGCGUUAAUCGGAAUUACUGGGCGUAAAGCGUGCGCAGGCGGUUUGGCAAGUCAGAUGUGAAAUCCCCGAGCUCAACUUGGGAACUGCGUUUGAAACUGCCAGACUAGAAUAUGUCAGAGGGGGGUAGAAUUCCACGUGUAGCAGUGAAAUGCGUAGAGAUGUGGAGGAAUACCAAUGGCGAAGGCAGCCCCCUGGGAUAAUAUUGACGCUCAUGCACGAAAGCGUGGGGAGCAAACAGGAUUAGAUACCCUGGUAGUCCACGCCCUAAACGAUGUCUACUAGUUGUUGGUGGAGUAAAAUCCAUGAGUAACGCAGCUAACGCGUGAAGUAGACCGCCUGGGGAGUACGGUCGCAAGAUUA